rnacentral:rRNA from 1 species
CCUACGGGAGGCAGCAGUAGGGAAUAUUGCUCAAUGGGGGAAACCCUGAAGCAGCAACGCCGCGUGGAGGAUGAAGGUUUUAGGAAUGUAAACUCCUUUUGUGAGAGAAGAUAAUGACGGUACCUGAAGAAUAAGCACCGGCUAACUCCGGGCCAGCAGCCGCGGUAAUACGGAGGGUGCAAGCGUUACUCGGAAUCACUGGGAGUAAAGAGUGCGCAGGCGGGCUUGUAAGUCAGAUGUGAAAUCCUGUAGCUUAACUACAGAACUGCAUUUGAAACUAUGAGUAUAGAGUGUGGGAGAGGUAGGUGGAAUUCUUGGUGUAGGGGUAAAAGCCGUAGAUAUCAAGAGGAAUACUCAUUGCGAAGGCGACCUACUGGAACAUUACUGACGCUCAUGCACGAAAGCGUGGGGAGCAAACAGGAUUAGAUACCCUUGUAGUU